ensembl:lncRNA novel transcript
GGGAACAAUGGGUGAAGACAAUGACCAGGGUGCAGGCAGGCUGACCAUCCCAUCGGUUUGCCUGGAACUGUCCUAGUAUUAGCAAUGACAGUCCCAUGUCCCCAGGGCAAACCAGGGUGGUUGGUCACUGAAGUUCAAGUCCCUCUAGACAUUUCCAAACCUAAUUAACAAGUUGGGGAAGCGAGCUGUAACCCGUUUCUCUAGCUCUUUAUUUGUGUGAUUUGGCCAGAAAUUGCUUCAAGAGGAGACGUUCAAAAAGGAACAAAAAAUCAGAACUGAAACAAUGUCGGAGGGCACUUUGGGGUUUCUUCAGCAAAAUGCAAAUCCCUCCAUUAUCUUGUGGUUUAAACCAAAGCUGCCUUUUGGAAACUCCCGCUGAUUCUCCAGCCUCAUGGAGGGUGGCAGGUUCCUCUUUUAAGUGUUCCAGGCUAGGAGUUGCGUGGUUAACGCUGGGGACAAGAGGACCAAGGCCUGAGCAGCCCUGAAUCGCUCCCAUGAUGGCCCAAACAGGCACGGAGGAGGGUGAUUGGUCCCUGAGAAUGUGGAUGCCUGGAGCAGUUCACGGUACUGUCUCUGCCUCGUUCUGAGCCUGCACUGGGGCCUUGGGUCCCUGCAGAGCUGGUGGCCCACAGCUGGUAGCACUGUCCAGGUGCAGGUUUCAAUCAUCUUCCAGAACUGGGAUGACCAGGACAUUUGGGCGUGAAAGGGGCCCUACAAGCCUUAACAGAUACUAAAGAACGUCAGACAAGCAGAAUGAGGAUGGCCCCAGGCAAGGUGGACCCCACCCCAGCUGCAGGGAACAGCAAGGCUGCAGGUACCUGCUCAUUUCCAGCUCCCAGCCUCCCUCAGAACACAGACUGCCUUGCCAUUUUCUUAGCGAGCGGUUUGCAGCAAAGUGCUAUUUUGCUCUCGAACGCCUUCCUUUCCAAUUGGGACAAACGGCUAUGAAUACGGCACACCCUGUUUUGCAUUCAAACUGUUGGGAAAGUUUUGCGGCUGUAAAUAUCAUGCUCUUGGUGCUCAAGACAGAAUUAUUAUUACUUUUUCCUUAGUUCUUGGAACCAGUGAUAAAUUAAACAUUUCUUUUGCCCCCC